rnacentral:rRNA from 1 species
UACGAAGGGGGCUAGCGUUGCUCGGAAUCACUGGGCGUAAAGCGCACGUAGGCGGCGUCUUAAGUCAGUGGUGAAAUCCUGGAGCUCAACUCCAGAACUGCCUCUGAUACUGAGAUGCUUGAGUCCGGGGAGAGGUGAGUGGAACUGCGAGUGUAGAGGUGAAAUUCGUAGAUAUUCGCAAGAACACCAGUGGCGAAGGCGGCUCACUGGCCCGGUACUGACGCUGAGGUGCGAAAGCGUGGGGAGCAAACAGG